UGGGGAAUAUUGGACAAUGGGCGCAAGCCUGAUCCAGCCAUGCCGCGUGAGUGAAGAAGGCCCUAGGGUUGUAAAGCUCUUUCAACGGUGAAGAUGAUGACAGUAGCCGUAGAAGAAGCCCCGGCUAACUCCGUGCCAGCAGCCGCGGUAAUACGGAGGGGGCAAGCGUUGUUCGGAAUUACUGGGCGUAAAGGGCGCGUAGGCGGUCUGUUGCGUCAGGUGUGAAAGCCCCGGGCUCAACCUGGGAGGUGCACUUGAUACGGGCGGACUGGAAUCCGAGAGAGGAUGGUGGAAUUCCCAGUGUAGAGGUGAAAUUCGUAGAUAUUGGGAAGAACACCGAUGGCGAAGGCAGCCAUCUGGCUCGGUAUUGACGCUGAGGCGCG
rnacentral:rRNA from 1 species